GGGGAUAUAGCUCAGUUGGUAGAGCUCCGCUCUUGCAAU
rnacentral:tRNA from 2 species